rnacentral:pre_miRNA from 1 species
AGAGUAAGAGACACUCCGGUAGCAGGGAUGAUUUGCCCGUAGAUCGAACAGUACAGGCAUUGGCAUGGCAACGACAGGAACCACAGGCAAAUCAUCCCUGGCUACCAAAGAUGGCCUCUUACUU